rnacentral:rRNA from 1 species
GUAGGUGGCAAGCGUUGUCCUGAAUUAUUGGGCGUAAAGCGCGCGCAGGUGGUUCUUUAAGUCUGAUGUGAAAGCCCCCGGGCUCAACCGGGGAGGGUCAUUGGAAACUGGGGAACCUGAGUGCAGGAGAGGAAAGUGGAAUUCCACGUGUAGCGGUGAAAUGCGUAGAUAUGUGGAGGAACACCAGUGGCGAAGGCGACUUUCUGGCCUGUAACUGACACUGAGGCGCGAAAGCGUGGGGAGCAAACAGGAUUAGAUACCCUGGUAGUCCACGCCGUAAACGAUGAGUGCUAAGUGUUGGGGGGUUUCCGCCCCUCAGUGCUGCAGCUAGCGCAUUAAGCACUCCGCCUGGGGAGUACGGUCGCAAGACUG